UAGGUAUAUGAAUUUAUUAUCAGCAUGCACCUGUUGACUUGUUUCGUAGUGUAUAAAUAUGUCAAUUCUAAAUUACCCUUAUCUCCCAUACAAGAUCUCAUAUAUUUCUAUUAAGACCUCAACAUGAAAAGCCUGAUAUUUAUUCUAUGUUUAGGAUUCGUCGGUUACGUAUCGAGUCAAGUGAGUUGUGAUGAAGACCAUCCCUGUCCAAAUUUUUGUCCAGAUCAUUACCAUGAGCAGUGCGUCCGGAAGGAGUGCACGUGUCUAAAUCAUUCAUGCACAACGGCGGAACAAUGUCCGACUGGUAACAUGAGUGGUUGUCCCCCCGGAAAGGCGAGCUGUAAAGACGGCCACUGUUAUUGUAACAGGCACUAAUACCAAUAAAAAACGA